UAGGGAAUAUUGCGCAAUGGGCGGAAGCCUGACGCAGCGACGCCGCGUGAGCGAAGAAGGCCUUCGGGUCGUAAAGCUCUGUCCUUGGGGAAGAAGGCGAAAGCUUGACGGUACCCAAGAAGAAAGCCCCGGCUAACUACGUGCCAGCAGCCGCGGUAAUACGUAGGGGGCGAGCGUUGUCCGGAAUUACUGGGCGUAAAGGGUGCGUAGGCGGCCUUUUAAGUCAGAUGUGAAAGGCUGCGGCUUAACCGCAGGACUGCAUUUGAAACUGGAAGGCUUGAGUGUCGGAGAGGGUAGUGGAAUUCCCAGUGUAGCGGUGAAAUGCGUAGAUAUUGGGAGGAACACCAGUGGCGAAGGCGACUACCUGGACGAUAACUGACGCUGAGGCACGAAAGCUAGG
rnacentral:rRNA from 1 species